rnacentral:rRNA from 1 species
UACUUGAUCCUUCGGGUGAAGGUGGCGGACGGGUGAGUAACGCGUAAAGAACUUGCCUUACAGACUGGGACAACAUUUGGAAACGAAUGCUAAUACCGGAUAUUAUGACUGAGUCGCAUGAUUUGGUUAUGAAAGCUAUAUGCGCUGUGAGAGAGCUUUGCGUCCCAUUAGUUAGUUGGUGUGGUAACGGCCCACCAAGACGAUGAUGGGUAGCCGGCCUGAGAGGGUGAACGGCCACAAGGGGACUGAGACACGGCCCUUACUCCUACGGGAGGCAGCAGUGGGGAAUAUUGGACAAUGGACCAAAAGUCUGAUCCAGCAAUUCUGUGUGCACGAUGAAGUUUUUCGGAAUGUAAAGUGCUUUCAGUUGGGAAGAAGUCAGUGAUGGUACCAACAGAAGAAGCGACGGCUAAAUACGUGCCAGCAGCCGCGGUAAUACGUAUGUCGCAAGCGUUAUCCGGAUUUAUUGGGCGUAAAGCGCGUCUAGGCGGUUUAGUAAGUCUGAUGUGAAAAUGCGGGGCUCAACCCCGUAUUGCGUUGGAAACUGCUAAACUAGAGUACUGGAGAGGUAGGCGGAACUACAAGUGUAGAGGUGAAAUUCGUAGAUAUUUGUAGGAAUGCCGAUGGGGAAGCCAGCCUACUGGACAGAUACUGACGCUAAAGCGCGAAAGCGUGGGUAGCAAACAGGAUUAGAUACCCUGGUAGUCCACGCCGUAAACGAUGAUUACUAGGUGUUGGGGGUCGAACCUCAGCGCCCAAGCUACGCGAUAAGUAUCCGCCUGGAGGAGUACGUACGCA